GGACGGGUGAGUAAUGCCUAGGAAAUUGCCCUGAUGUGGGGGAUAACCAUUGGAAACGAUGGCUAAUACCGCAUGAUGCCUACGGGCCAAAGAGGGGGACCUUCGGGCCUCUCGCGUCAGGAUAUGCCUAGGUGGGAUUAGCUAGUUGGUGAGGUAAGGGCUCACCAAGGCGACGAUCCCUAGCUGGUCUGAGAGGAUGAUCAGCCACACUGGAACUGAGACACGGUCCAGACUCCUACGGGAGGCAGCAGUGGGGAAUAUUGCACAAUGGGCGCAAGCCUGAUGCAGCCAUGCCGCGUGUGUGAAGAAGGCCUUCGGGUUGUAAAGCACUUUCAGUCGUGAGGAAGGNNGUGUAGUUAAUAGCUGCAUUAUUUGACGUUAGCGACAGAAGAAGCACCGGCUAACUCCGUGCCAGCAGCCGCGGUAAUACGGAGGGUGCGAGCGUUAAUCGGAAUUACUGGGCGUAAAGCGCAUGCAGGUGGUUUGUUAAGUCAGAUGUGAAAGCCCGGGGCUCAACCUCGGAAUUGCAUUUGAAACUGGCAGACUAGAGUACUGUAGAGGGGGGUAGAAUUUCAGGUGUAGCGGUGAAAUGCGUAGAGAUCUGAAGGAAUACCGGUGGCGAAGGCGGCCCCCUGGACAGAUACUGACACUCAGAUGCGAAAGCGUGGGGAGCAAACAGGAUUAGAUACCCUGGUAGUCCACGCCGUAAACGAUGUCUACUUGGAGGUUGUGGCCUUGAGCCGUGGCUUUCGGAGCUAACGCGUUAAGUAGACCGCCUGGGGAGUACGGUCGCAAGAUUAAAACUCAAAUGAAUUGACGGGGGCCCGCACAAGCGGUGGAGCAUGUGGUUUAAUUCGAUGCAACGCGAAGAACCUUACCUACUCUUGACAUCCAGAGAACUUUCCAGAGAUGGAUUGGUGCCUUCGGGAACUCUGAGACAGGUGCUGCAUGGCUGUCGUCAGCUCGUGUUGUGAAAUGUUGGGUUAAGUCCCGCAACGAGCGCAACCCUUAUCCUUGUUUGCCAGCGAGUAAUGUCGGGAACUCCAGGGAGACUGCCGGUGAUAAACCGGAGGAAGGUGGGGACGACGUCAAGUCAUCAUGGCCCUUACGAGUAGGGCUACACACGUGCUACAAUGGCGCAUACAGAGGGCGGCCAACUUGCGAAAGUGAGCGAAUCCCAAAAAGUGCGUCGUAGUCCGGAUUGGAGUCUGCAACUCGACUCCAUGAAGUCGGAAUCGCUAGUAAUCGUGGAUCAGAAUGCCACGGUGAAUACGUUCCCGGGCCUUGUACACACCGCCCGUCACACCAUGGGAGUGGGCUGCAAAAGAAGUAGGUAG
rnacentral:rRNA from 1 species